UACGGAGGGUGCAAGCGUUAUCCGGAAUCACUGGGCGUAAAGGGCGCGUAGGCGGCCUGUUAAGUCCGAUGUUAAAGACUGGGGCUCAACCCCAGCAUUGCGUUGGAUACUGGCAGGCUUGACGGUUGGAGAGGCGAGCGGAAUUACCAGUGUAGCGGUGAAAUGCGUAGAUACUGGUAGGAACACCCAUUGCGAAGGCAGCUCGCUGGACAACACGUGAGGCUGAGGCGCGAAAGUGUGGGGAGCAAACCGGAUUAGAUACCCCGGUA
rnacentral:rRNA from 1 species